CGUAGGCCUUUCCCUAAAGAUUUAGACGGAGAAAUUCUACUCAGGCUGCCCGUGAAGUCAUUGUUUAGAUUCAAAUGCGUGUGCAAGAACUGAGAAUCAUGGUGAUGGUGAAGCUCCUGAUUAUAUCCAUAGAUUUAAAGGUUUGACGAAAGUUAUAGGUUCUGUGGAUGGAUUGUUUUUGUUGCAAAGAGAAAUUGAUCCCGAAAAUAGAUACAUGCAAAUCUUUGCAAUGGCGCUGUGGAAUUCUUCGACCAGAGAGGCGAGGCACCUCCCUCCACACAAAAUCUAGUACACUCACUAUGGGUUCGGAUUAGAUCCCUUGACUAAUGACUAUAAAGUGGUUUACUAUAAUUUUCACUUUGGUGAAUAUUAAUAUGCAGCUGUCUACUCUUGUUCUAUGGACUCAUGUAGAAACAUUACACCUAAAAUUAAAUUCAAUUCCUGCGGACGCUCUUUAAAUGAAGCCUAUGGUACUGCUUAUCUGAAUGGGGCUUAUUAUUGGCUGAUAAGGGAGGGGCUUAAGCCCAGUAUUCUUUCGUUUGACUUUAGCAAUGAGGUGUUUGAAGAGAUUAAAGGGCCAGAUGUUAUCUCUUUUAGUUCUCUGAUAUUGCUUGACGACUCGGUUGCCCUCUUGACCUUUAAUGGAAAUUGUUUUUAUGAUAUAUGGGUAAUGAUCCAACCAGGGGUUUGGAACAAACUUUUUACCUUCCAAAACUUUAGAGGUAUUAAGACUUGGUAUUCCAGCAGUCUCAUUUUGGCAACUAGACGUUCUUGGCUAGUCUCCUAUAAUGUUAGGACUAAGAAGACACGACGUCUUGGAUUUUGUCACCCAGUCCUGCGACGCAGCUGUGGGGUUUAUGUUUAUAAGGAAAGCUUAGUAACAUUGAAAUGAGAGAAUGUAUAGCAGCUGGACCAUCGCAACUUUCCUGAUGCCUCCUUUGAGCUUUAAACAAGAGUAUGCAACAAACUCAAGUGUGGAGAACAUAGAGGGGGAGCGACAAACACAGCAUUCCGUAGUUAUUAGAGUGUUCCAGCGAAUUGAUGUAGAGUAGGUUUGCGGGAUGAAUGAAUUGAUUUGAAUUCCUGACUCUUACCUUUUUAAUACAGUUAUGAAGGAAUUACAGCGAUAUACUCCUUUGAUUUUUUUCGUUAGAUUUGCUACUGUGUCACUUUAGUGAGAAAAGUUACAAGAUAUGCCGAAAUAUUUGGUUCAUAAAGAUUUUGGAAUCCAGUCUGCAGAAACUUUGGAGUGAGAAAUUCGAGCGAUUUAUAUAUCACAUGUUCUGCUCAUUCAUUCUGUCUUCAUCUUGUAUUUGUAUUCCUUUGUAGUAGCAUCCUGUUGCUUUGACAUUUGCUAUAGGAAUUUUGAAUAGUGAGCUGAAUGGAGAGAGUACCUCAUCUCUGUGAAACAAAUUAUAUUGAGAUAUUGCAAGACAUGAGCUUUCUACUUUGUUUUUCUACUUCACAUUUGCAGGAUAGGAAUAUGAACAGGCCCUGGAAGUUCCUCAGGAGCUAAAAUCUCCGUUUGGGCCAUUUUCUUAUCACGUGUUCAAUCUGUCUUCAUAUUGUAUUUGCGUUCCUAACUCUGUAAUAGCAAUUUGUUGCUUUGACAUUAGCAAUAGGAAAUUGAACAGUGAGAAACUA